AGAGGUAAACGGGUGGAGUUGAACUGUGAUCUCUGUGAAUUUAGCUGGUGAGCAUGGUUUGGGCUUGGUCAAAUUGGUUGAAGCCGGGAAUCUGCGUAGCAGCAGGUCCUCACCUUCUGGUGGGGAUGCGCGAUGCACUUAUCAAGUGUUGCGCGUUCCAUGUUUUUCGUGCCAGCUUGCCAGUGCACUUUUGCAGAGUGGUCACCACGACCGGCAUUGCUGUCUGGCUGUUGUGGUUAAACCGGCCUUCCUUUGUCCUUGUGGCUUUGGAUUGUCGGGAUGGCAGGUAACUCGCUUGCUUGGCUUGUGGUUCGCUGCAGGUUUUGGCUCUCGGGUGUAAUCGGCUGACCGCAUCGGUUCUGUGCAGUAUGUCGGAGAUGGCGGCUUGUGGUACAUGCGUGCGUGCCAGUUGGCUGGCGUGUCCGUGUUUGGUUGUCAUGUUGCUUGUGUAAACAGGCCUGGCGAUAGCUCGGAUUCGUUUGGCUGGCGGUUGUGUGCGUAGUGCUUUCCA
rnacentral:rRNA from 1 species